rnacentral:rRNA from 1 species
ACGGCUCAGUAACACGUGGACAACCUACCCUAUGGUGGGGGAUAACCCCGGGAAACUGGGGAUAAUACCCCAUAGAUUAUGGAAGCUGGAAUGCUCUGUAGUUGAAAGGUCCGCCGCCAUAGGAUGGGUCUGCGGCCGAUUAGGCUGUUGUUGGGGUAACGGCCCAACAAGCCUGUAAUCGGUACGGGUUGUGGGAGCAAGAGCCCGGAGAUGGAUUCUGAGACACGAAUCCAGGCCCUACGGGGCGCAGCAGGCGCGAAAACUUUACAAUGCGGGAAACCGUGAUAAGGGAACUCCGAGUGCCCGUAAAAUCGGGCUGUCCAUCUGUUUAAAUAACAGGUGAAGAAAGGGCCGGGCAAGACCGGUGCCAGCCGCCGCGGUAAUACCGGCGGCUCGAGUGGUGGCCACUAUUACUGGGCUUAAAGCGUUCGUAGCUGGUCUGUUAAGUCUCUGGGGAAAUCUACUGGCUUAACCAAUAGACGUUUCAGGGAUACUGGCAGACUAGGGACCGGGAGAGGUGAGAGGUACUCCAGGGGUAGGAGUGAAAUCCUGUAAUCCUUGGGGGACCACCUGUGGCGAAGGCGUCUCACCAGAACGGCUCCGACAGUGAGGGACGAAAGCUGGGGGAGCAAACCGGAUUAGAUACCCGGGUAGUCCCAGCCGUAAACGAUGCGCGUUAGGUGUAUCGGUGACCACGAGUCACCGAGGUGCCGAAGAGAAAUCGUGAAACGUGCCGCCUGGGAAGUACGGUCGCAAGGCUGAAACUUAAAGGAAUUGGGGGGGGGAGGAC